rnacentral:rRNA from 1 species
AACGAACGCUGGCGGCAUGCCUAACACAUGCAAGUCGAACGCUCCGCAAGGGGAGUGGCGCACGGGUGAGUAACACGUGGGAACCUGCCUAUCGGUUCGGAACAACGUUUGGAAACGAACGCUAAUACCGGAUAUUCCCUCAGGGGGAAAGAUUUAUCGCCGAUAGAGGGGCCCGCGUCCGAUUAGGUAGUUGGUGGGGUAAUGGCCUACCAAGCCGACGAUCGGUAGCUGGUCUGAGAGGAUGAUCAGCCACACUGGGACUGAGACACGGCCCAGACUCCUACGGGAGGCAGCAGUGUGGAAUAUUGGACAAUGGGCGCAAGCCUGAUCCAGCAAUGCCGCGUGAGUGAUGAAGGCCUUAGGGUUGUAAAGCUCUUUCGCACGUGACGAUGAUGACGGUAACGUGAGAAGAAGCCCCGGCUAACUUCGUGCCAGCCGCCGCCGUAA